rnacentral:lncRNA from 1 species
CUUAAAUAACAAACUAACAAAGUUUCAUGACACAAACAAAAAUCCAUUAUUGUACAUAACUUAAAAAUCCCAUAUAAGCAUAACAAACCGAGUUUGGCUGCAAUGUCUAACUAAAACUCCAAAUCUCCUCCAGUAAGGGCACGGGUUUCUGGCAGAAAUUUUCAAAAGAGGUCACCUUCUUUGUGCGUAUGAAUAACACAGUCUGAAGUUGGAUAGGCUACACAGGUUAGAACAUAACCUUCAUUUAAUUGAUUGUCAUCGAGAAAUGACCCAUCUGACUGAUCGACAGAACCAGAAACAACCUUCCCAGCACAGGUAGAGCAUGCUCCAGCACGGCAUGAAUAUGGAAGUUCAACUCCUGCAUUCUCUGCUGCAUCUAAGAUGUAAGUAUCAUCAGUUGCCUCAAAUUCAUUUUCUUUUCCAUCCGGACCAAUCAGCUUAACUUUGUAAGCAGCCACCGCAGUAACCCUAGAUGAAGCAGAUGACUUCAGGCCAAAAGAUCGUGAAACAUUCUUCGCGGAUCCUAGAGAAGAAGGGCACUUGACUGUUGCGGCAGUAGUGAAUUGAUUUUGGUUGGUAGCUUUAAGCGUGCAAUAGCGGUAAACCUUCACAGUUGACAAGGCUGACAUGAUUACCCUGAAAUUGAAUUGAUAUUACAAAUGGCGUCUUAUACAAAACACAUCAGGGGUUAAAAUAUAUCAGAUUCAAUGAAUAAAUACAGAAAACAACAGUAGAAAGCAAGCUGGAUUCAGAUUAUGUUCCAUAAAUUUGACAUUGCUAGACAGAAAUAGAGCAAUAACUCGAUUGCUACAGCACGUAGGAUAAAGAUACAUUAUGUGUCAAUCAUUGUUUAAAUUCAAAAGUAAUAAAUUAAUUAUGAACUAUCAAUUAACAGUUGAUCAUUUUAGUCUCAUUGUAUUAGGGUAAAAAAAACAACAAAAUCAUUAAUAUUGUUGUUAACUGUUAUGAAUGUUGAAAAGAAACAAGGUUAGUAUCUCAAAGAUUUCUAAUACUGUUUUUAACAUUCAUAAUACCUCAUGCAAUUC